rnacentral:lncRNA from 1 species
UGCGAUGAGUGCCAUCGCGUCAGGCUCGACCCUGAAGCGCGCAGCGUAGAGGGCGGCGCGAUGGGCCACGUCGUCGCCCACGCGCUCGACGUCCCGCAGCCACGCGAGCGCGUCCACAGACUUGUAGGCCGCUGCGACGUAGCACGCAUAAGAGGCGUCCAGCGGGAAGCCGCGAGCGCGCGCCCACGCCAACACGUCGACCCUAUUGCGACGGGCCAAGUCUGUGCAGAGGGCCGAGUCUGCGGCGCAGUGGGCCUUUUCCGAGAGCCAGGUGAUCACCGCCAUGGGGUCGUCACUGUGGGCAACGCUGGCAAAGGCCCGCGGCGUCCACACGGCACUGCCGCGCGGCGUCGUCGCGUCGCCGCAACGGUCGAGCACAACGGCCAACAGAUCGAGCCGGCCCUCUCUCGCGGCCGCGCCGACGACGCUGGCGUCGCACGGCGCACCAUUGUCCCAUGCCCAGACAAAGGCCUCGACGGUGCUCGCCGUGCACACAAGCGCCACGAGCGUGCGCGCGUCCCACGGGCAGGGCGGGGUCUGUGCGCGCAGCCAAUGCAGCACCUCGAUCCCACUGUUUCGGGUGUGCCACGCCGCCGACGAACACGCGCGUUCAUUCCACGGACACGGCGGCUCUUGCGUACGCAACCACGCCAACAUCGCCGGCACAUGGGUGGCGACGGAUGCAGUAUUUGACGCAUCAUUUGUUGCAUCUGCCGUGGUCUGGCGGCGUGCGCCUCGGCGUCUGCUUGGCUGGCGCCGGGCGCGCCGUGAGUCGGCACUGAUACGGAAUUGCAUCGCGUCCACCUCGGCGGCAACCGAACACACAUCGGGGUGCCAUGGACAAGGGUCGGGCUGUGUGCGCAUCCACCUCAGCAGGACUCCUCCGUCAUAGAGACCGACAGCGCGCACCAAGGCCUCGGGGUGCCAUGGGCACGGUGGCGUUGGUGCACGCAGCCAGCGCACCCACCACGCAUAGCCGCAGUAUCGCGCGGCGUCAAAGGCCCAUGGUCCCAUCGGGCAGCCGCAUUGAUCGCGCAGCCAGACGGCAACGCUCCUCGCAUUGGUGCGGAUGGCCGUGCGCAUCGUGCUCUGGCGCAGGGUGAACGGGCACUGGGCCGACCCGAGCGGAAAGCGUGCUGCCCAUGCGACGACGAUGCCGCGCCAACGCUGUGAUACCUGCGCUACGGCUGCGUGCCACGGCGGUUCGGUACAGUCGCCCAGGAUGAGCCACAGAAUUUCGUCUGGCAGGUCGUCGAUGCUGAGGCUCGGCAAUGCGAUUGAGCGUUGUCCUCCUCGAAGUUGGCGUCCCCGCCUGCGCGUCGGCCGUGCGUCGCCCCGACAAGUGCCCUUGGUGCGCGCGGCCCCACUUGCACGGGCAGUCCGACCACGCUUGUCGGGCAAGGCCACCAAUGAAACACACACGCUGGCGCUCGCCUGCGCCUUGGCGGCCAGUCGCGCAGACCUCCGUACUUUGGUCGUCAUCCGUUUUCCUUUCUUUUUUUUUGUGGUCCAACAGGGGACCCUUUUUCUUUUUCGUGCACGGCGCGGUUUUGUCAGUGUCGUCUAUCGAGCCGCCUUUGCGCCCCACCAUCCUCUACCGCCUUUGCGCCCCGCGCUGUGAUCGUCCCCUCCCCCCCC